GUCUGACUCGGUAUAUGGUUCUCUCGGUCGGUAGAACAUGAGACUCUUAAUUUCAGUGCUGUGAGUUCGGACCCCACGUUGGGCC